UCGUGUCAAUGAACUGCCUAACACUCGCUCAUUAUUCGGCCAUCGCCCCGCAACGCGGGCGGGGCGUCAACUAGUAUACUACAAAGACCAUGAGGGGGAACAGUGCCAAACAACUGCCCGUCACUCCCACAUUGCCCCGGACAAGUUACGAUUUUACCCACAAUUUAAAAUUACGAUUUUCCCCCUUUUCAAAAUUAUGAUUUUGUCCCUCAUUCUAAUUUACAUUCUUGCCACUCUUUUAGCUUUUGACAAAUUAUGAUUUUACCCCAGUUAAAAAUUAUGAUUUUGCCCCCAGUUCGAAAUUACGUUCUACCCACCGUUUUAGUUUUUUUAAGCAAAACUAUGGUUGUGUUUUAUUUUAAUUGGUUGACUCGAUAUAAUUUAUAUUCGUGUCAGCCAGCUGCCUUGUACUCGCUCAUUGUUUUGACAAAUUUCAGUUUUGCCCCCAGCUAAAAGUUAUAGCUUUGCCAUUGUUUUAGUUUUUUUUAUCUAGCAAAGCUACGAUACUGUUUUGUUUAAUUGGUAAACAAAUAUUCGGUCUAGCAUCCCGCAAAACGGGCAGGACAUAAAACUAGUUCAUUUACAUAUAUAAUAUCGAUUUAGCUAUAUGCAAUUAACACUUAAUCAUGUUUAAUUAGAGGUGGCAAUCCUGACCUAAAGGCUUUCAGGUGGGUUAGUUUGGGUUGCUUUUAAAAUUAUAUGGUUAGUUUGGGUAAGAUAUUUUAACUAAACGGGUCACAACGGGUCAAUUGAAAUUUCAUCUUGUUAUUUUCGGGUCAAAGCGGGUCGACAACUUUAAAGAAAUUGGUCGAUGUGGGUUAGCACCUUAAAGAAACGAGACAAGUUUUGGAUCAGAAUGGGUUUCGGGUCGGCACAAGUAUACACACAAGAGGGGUUAUGGCACGAAACAGGUUUUGGUUCGGAACGGUUUCAGUUCGAAUUGAAUUUCGGACCGAGACGGGUUUUGGAUCGGAACGGGUCGGUUAGGAUCGGGUUCGGGCCGACACGGGUUUCUGCACGAGACGGGUUUUGGAUCGCAACAGGUUUUAGGCCGACAUGAAUUUUCGCACGAGACGAGCUUCGGUUCGGGACGGGUUUCGGUUUGGUUUCGUUUUUUGUUUCGGUUUCACUACUACAAAAAGAGGCACCUGCUAUGAAGUUUUGUCAUGAAAUAAAACUGGUCGCAAAUUUUGCUAUGUAUUAUUGUUAAAAAAUAUUAUUUGGGUUUCAACUUUUUAUUGUUAAUAAAAUAUUUUAUAAAAUAUUUUGUGAUUGGUUACUUUAAUUGUUAAUAAAAUACAAAAAUAUUUUAUAACCUCCUAUAAAUUCAUUUUACCUCGGUAGAACCACUUUUUCCUCCACUAACCCACUUUCCCCUAAAACUACUUUAGUUCCCUCCUAAUUUCAAACACAAUUCAGUAAUUCCCCCCAUAUAUUACCCCUAUUUCAAUCAAUAAUGUUACUAUCAUGUCUUUAGAUUCGUGCCUCCCUGAAAUCCUCUUCCCUUCCCUCUCACUAAUACCGAUCCCUCUUUAGGGCCGGGUCGCCGGGUCACCGAACAACAGGAGUACUAAAACCUUUAUGAACAACAGGCACAUCAACUGUUUGAUAAUUUGCCCCAACUAGAUGUUGAUGUUGGGGAUACACAAGGAGACAACCGUUCAUGUCUGCUUCAACUUUCUUUUGUUUGAUUGAGAUGUACAUCAAAGUAGUUUAUUAAUGUCUUGGAAAAGAAGCCUUGGCAAUGGGCAACGAUGGACGUAUGCCUCGCACAAAAUAGUGUUUCAUUAGAUGAGCAUGGCAACGAUGGAUGCAUAUGGAACUUGUGCUCAAAGUUCAAGAGAUAUCAAUAUCCAUAAACUUUACCCAUCAAUUGGGUGGUGUGUAAUUUUGUAUGAUGUGGAUCUGCUAGACGUUACAGAAUUUAUGAACACAAACUUGUGAUUAGAGAAUACAAUUUGUAUCGUACUUACAUAAUUUGUAUAAUUUUGUAUUUCAUUUGAAUAAUGUGUACA